rnacentral:tRNA from 1 species
GAGGUUUUAGCUUAAUUAAAGUGUUUGAGUUGCAGUCAGGUGAUGCAAGUUAGAGUUUUGCAGGCCUUC